UCCAGACUGUGCGCAAGUCCAAGGGCAAAACACUAACCCCAAGGGCGCAAUGAAGGUGACGAACGUCUCCGACGUUUUCAAACCAAUAGGUAAGAUCGGCAAAACCCGGCCCGUACAAUAGAUGGGUAAGCCUUAAAAACUUCCCUCUAAUCGGGUUCGGGUAACCACUGGUUGCCGCGCAUUACCAGGGCGCUCCGGCACUGUCCGGGGCGCACCCAGAGCGUACAGUUUGGUACCCGAAAGAUGGUGAUCUAUGCCUGGGCCGGACGAAGCCGGGGGAAACCCCGGUGGAGGUCUAGACCGAUUCUGACGUGCAAAUCGAUCGCAGGAUCUGGGCAUAGGGGCGAAAGACUAAUCGAACCAUCUAGUAGCUGGUUCCUUCCGA
rnacentral:rRNA from 1 species